GCGGCAGAUGGCCGGCAUGGCGGGCCUCGGCCUGCCGAGCUAUGUCGGCAUGUGGGCGCUGAUGAUGGCGGCGAUGAUGCUGCCGUCCGUCGCGCC
rnacentral:tRNA from 1 species